CUAGGAUUACAGGUGUGAGCCACCACACCCAGCCCAAAAAUUGUAAUUCUUUUUCCUUUCCUCAUAACCUCUCGUGUGUGUACAUAAUCUAUUUUGGUUUCUACUGCUUUCCACUCAUUUUUAUUAUUUUUUAAAAUUAUUUUUCAUUUUUAGAGAUGGGAUGUCAUUCUCUCCUAGGCUAGAGUGCAGUGGCACAAUCAUAGCUUGCUGCAGCCUCAACUCCUGGCAUCAAGCAAACCUACCUCACCAUCCCAAGUAGCUGGGACUACAGUCAGGCACCACCACACCUAGCUAAUUAUUUUAAAAAAUUUUAGAGACCAGAGGGUGGGAGGUGGGGUGCCCUCACUAUGUUGCUCAGGCUGGUCUCGAACUCCUGGCCUCAAGCAAUCCUCCCACCUUACCCUCCCAAGUAGCUGGGAUUACAGGCACAAGCAAGGGUUGACUAAUUUUUUAACUCCUAAAAAUAUACUCAGUCCUAUGAUAGCAUAGAGUUUAAUAUAUUAAGGACCUUAAAAUCUUGUUGAAUAUUCAAGCAUCAAUCUAUAAGCUUGGUCAGUUCAGGGCUAGCAUAGUAUGUUGCUAUUACAAUGGGAUGUAUUCAUACAUAUAGAUAGGAAUGAGGCCUAUUACAGAGAACUUGACAGAAUUUAGUGUAGAUGUGGAAGGUAAUAAGCAAUCAGAUGACAAUGGUGCAUUUGAAAAGGUACAUCUGGCAACUAAUUCUACAGCAUUGUAGCAUUAGUGUGGAGUAUAUGAAUAGAUAAUCAGUCAUUGUAGUUGAAAUCUCCCUAAAAAGUAAAAAAACUGCCCUUAAAUAGCUUAAUAUCUUUCGAAGAAUAACAGUUUUAGGAAGCCCAGGAUAACAAAAAGCUAUAUAUGCAUUGGAUAAAUGUUAUUUGCUGGGGAUGACAAAUACGUCACCUGCCAUUGUGACCCACGCUCAUAACAUGUAUGAGCUCAUAACAUAUGUAUGGUUAUGUAUCAUGGAACUUGUUGCUGAAGUAACUAGAAUGUAUUGAGAGUUUAUAGAACAGCUCUCUGGGCAGCUGUUACUAAUCAACUUUGGCACUGGGAUUAAACAUUUUUAUACCUUCUAGCAUUUAGCAAUUCAUGCCAAUUGAGGUGUCAUUGAAGAGUUGGGGCUUGAAUGAGAGGAUCUCUCCAUCCUUAUUUUUCUUUUGCUCUCUGACACGAACUUUCUGAUCUGUGGCCUUCGUAUCCUCCACAUGUUACCACUUUAAGUCGUAUCUGGAUGUGUUCAUGCUGAUCCAUCUUCUAGUCUCACCUUCCAGUUUGUCCUACUUUAUAAUCCUUCAGGUUUAAUUCAAAACCGAAUUUAUCCAUGAUAUAGCUUUCUUUUCUCUGGACUCAUAAGUAAGCCCCAUCACUCUUAGCCCUUUUUUGUGGGCCUGUCUGGGUUCCAUAAUUAGAUUGUGAUCCUCUAGGAAAGGAUUGUACCUGACAGCCUCUUCUAUUUCCCAUAGUAAAACUAGUUGAUUAAUUGUUGGUAAAAUUUACAUCAUAUAGCAGAAAUGGCUUCUUCAGUAAAACAGACUGAAGAAUAUGCUAGAGACUGGCUGCAAUAUAAGUGAGGUCUAAUUGGUUUUAAAUGAAGUAUUUUCCACUCUUUCAUUUCUUGAGUGGUUUCAAUUUAGAGCAUCUCUUCGGUUCUACCUUUAAUUCCCACAUUUAGAUUACAGUGAGAUCAUUUUCUGUUCCUCAAUUUUGGUUCCAGACCAACAUUUUAGAUUUUAAUACUACUAUAAUCUUGCUUUAUCCAACA
rnacentral:lncRNA from 10 species